GUGGAGUCGCGGGAGCUGCGGCUGCGGAGUUACCCUUUAUUCUGUGAUAGUUUGAGCUGUUCUGCGUCUCGCAGGCCCUUCCGAAUUUCCUGGACCUACUCUCGGAACCCUCAACGAGCUAGCGAUAGAUUUAGAGGAAAGGAAGCACCGUCGGAAAGCAAAGGUCUUCGCCAGAUCAACCAGAAAAAUAGAGAAAUUGCUAUCCCACUGACAUUGAGUAUGAGCACACAGUUGCGAAGGCAUGAUUUCACCUUCACUUGAACUCCUUCAUUCAGGACUCUGCAAAUUCCCUGAAGGAGAAGGAAAAAUGACCACAUUCAAAGAGGCAGUGACAUUCAAGGAUGUGGCUGUGGUCUUCACUGAGGAGGAGCUGGGGCUGCUGGACCCUGCCCAGAGGAAGCUGUACCGAGAUGUGAUGCUAGAGAACUUCAGGAACCUGCUCUCAGUAGGGAAUCAACCAUUCCACCAAGAUACUUUCCACUUCUUAAGGAAGGAAAAGUUUUGGAUGAUGAAGACAACAAGCCAAAGAGAAGGGAAUUCAGGAGGCAAGAUCCAAAUUGAGAUGGAGACUGUUCCAGAAGCAGGACCACAUGAAGAGUGGUCCUGUCAGCAAAUAUGGGAACAAAUUGCAAGUGACCUAACCAGGUCUCAAAACUCCAUAAGGAACAGCUCUCAGUUCUUCAAAGAAGGUGAUGUCCCCUGCCAGAUUGAGGCAGGACUAUCUAUAAGUCACGUGCAACAGAAACCUUACCAGUGUAAUGAAUGUAAACAGUCCUUCAGUGAUGUUUCUGUCUUUGAUCUUCAUCAACAAUCACACUCAGGAGAGAAAUCUCAUACAUGUGGUGAGUGUGGAAAAAGCUUCUGUUACAUCUCAGCCCUUCAUAUUCAUCAGAGAGUCCAUAUGGGAGAAAAAUGCUAUACGUGUGAUGUGUGUGGUAAGGAAUUUAAUCAGAGCUCACAUCUGCAAACUCAUCAGAGAGUCCAUACUGGAGAGAAACCAUUCAAAUGUGGGCAAUGUGGGAAAGGCUUCCAUAGUAGAUCAGCACUUAAUGUUCAUUGCAAAUUGCACACAGGAGAGAAACCUUAUAAUUGUGAGGAAUGUGGGAAAGCCUUCAUUCACGAUUCACAGCUUCAGGAACAUCAGAGAAUCCAUACUGGGGAGAAGCCAUUCAAAUGUGAUAUAUGUGGUAAGAGCUUCCGUGUUAGAUCAAGACUUAAUAGGCAUUCCAUGGUUCACACAGGAGAAAAACCAUUCAGAUGUGAUACGUGUGGCAAGAACUUUCGUCAGAGAUCAGCACUUAAUAGUCAUUCCAUGGUCCACAUAGAAGAGAAGCCAUACAAAUGUGAGCAAUGUGGAAAAGGCUUCAUUUGUAGGCGAGAUUUUUGUAAGCAUCAGAUGGUCCACACAGGAGAGAAACCAUAUAACUGUAAAGAAUGUGGGAAGACCUUCAGAUGGUCCUCAUGUCUUUUGAACCAUCGGCGAGUCCACAGUGGACAAAAACCCUUCAAAUGUGAAGAAUGUGGGAAGGGAUUUUAUACAAAUUCACGACGAUCUUCCCAUCAGAGAUCCCACAAUGGAGAAAAGCCAUAUAACUGUGAGGAGUGUGGUAAGGACUAUAAAAGGAGGUUGGAUCUUGAGUUUCACCAGAGGGUCCACACGGGUGAGAGACCCUAUAAUUGUAAGGAAUGUGGCAAGAGCUUUGGCUGGGCCUCCUGUCUUUUGAAACAUCAGAGACUCCACAGUGGGGAAAAACCUUUCAAAUGUGAAGAGUGUGGAAAGAGAUUUACUCAGAGUUCACAACUUCAUUCCCAUCAGACAUGCCAUACUGGAGAAAAGCUAUACAAAUGUGAGCAGUGUGAGAAGGGGUACAACAGUAAAUUUAAUCUUGACAUGCACCAGAGGGUCCACAGGGGAGAGCGACCCUAUAAUUGUAAGGAAUGUGGAAAGAGCUUUGGCUGGGCUUCAUGUCUUUUGAAACAUCAGAGACUCCACAGUGGAGAAAAGCAAUUGAAAUCUGGAGUGUGGGAAGAGAUCUACUCAGAAUUCACAGCUUCAUUUACAUCAGUAAGUCUAUGUGGGAGAAAUGCCAUAUAAAUGUGAGAAGUGUGGGAAGGGCUUUGGCUGGGCCUCAACUCAUCUGACCCGUCGAUUCUCCAUAGCAGAGAAAAACCAUUCAAAUAUGAGAACUACGGGAAGAGCUUUGUACAUAGAUCAUAUCUUUUUUUUUUUUUUUUUGAGACAGAGUCUCACUCUUUUGCCCAGGCCUGACUGCAGUGGCGCUAUCUCAGCUCACUGCAAGCUCCGCCUCCCGGGUUCACGCCAUUCUCCUGCCUCAGCCUCCCGAGUAGCUGGGACUACAGGUGCCCGCCACCGCACCCAGCUAAUUUUUUGUAUUUUUAGUAGAGACGGGGUUUCACCGUGUUAGCCAGGAUGGUCUCGAUCUCCUGACCUCGUGAUCCGCCCGCCUUGGCCUCCCAAAGUGCUGGGAUUACAGGUGUGAGCCACCAUGCCUGGCCAUAGAUCACAUCUUAAAGACCAAGAAAAAAGUCCACAGUGGAGAUAAUCCGUACACAUGUGAGGAGUGUGGGAUGUACUACAACAGGCACUUGACUUGAUAUGAAUCAGAGGGUCCAUAUGGCAGAGAAACCACGGAAGUUUGGGGAGAUUGCCAUGUGCUUCAGUUAUGCCUCAAAGUCUUCAACUUCAUCGGAGUGUUCACUUACAAGAGAAACCUUAGUAAGGUGAUAUCUGUGAUAGUCUUCUCAACUACAAGCUCAUCUGAGAGUUCACAAUGGGAGAAGCAUUAAAAAUUUGAUACAUGUGAAAAUGAAGAAAAGUAGGGUGGAGUUAUGGCCCACCUGGUGUGGCAUGGAGCCAAAGGAAACCUCACCCCCACCCAAGGGAAGCGGUGAGUGAUUGUGUGACCCUGUGCAGGAAACCAUGCUACUCAAGGAUCUUUGCAACCCACGGGUAAGGAGAUCUCCUUGUGAGCCCAUGCCACCAGGGCCUUGGGUUUGAUACACAGAGCUGUGUGGAGUUUUGGCAGAGCAGCCUCUCAGGCACACACACAGACCCAGGAGGUUUACAUGCUCUAGCCCCAGAAUUCCUGGCAAGGUGGCAGAUUCAUCCUUAUAUUCCCCUAGGAAGGGGGCUGAAUCCAGGGAGCGAGGCAGCAACAUUCUGUGGGCCCCACUUCCAUGGCACCUUACAAAACCCACUGGCUUGGAAUUUCAACCAAGCAACAGCAACAGGCUUCAGCCUGAAAUAGGAGGGAGCUCCUUUGGGGAAGGCUGGCCACCAUUUCUGUGGUUCAGUCUACUCAGCAUUCCAGCCUGCCGGCUCUGGAGAGACCAGGUUGUCUGGACAAGGAGAGGAUCCCCCUGCCCAACACAGAACACCUGCUUUGCCAGAUCAUGCCGAGACUGCUGCUUUUUUUUUUUUGAGACGGAGUCUCACUCUGUUGCUCAGACUGGAGUGCAGUGGCAUGCUCUUGGCUCAUGGCAACCUCCACCUCUUGGGUUCAAGCAAUUCUCCUGCCUCAGCAUCCCAAGUAGCUGGGAUUACAGGCAGGUACCACCACACCUGGCUAAUUUUUGUAUUUUUCAUAGAGACAGGGUUUCACCGUGUUGGCCAGGCUGGUCUUGAACUCCUGACCGCAGGUGAUCCGCCUGCCUCAGCCUUCCAAAGUGCUGGGAUUACAGGCAUGAGCCACUGCACCUGGCCCAAACUGCUUCUUUAAGCAGGACCCUGAUCCAUUCCUCCCCACUGUGUGGGUUCUCCCUGUGGGGAGUCUUCAGUCACUCCAGCCAGGCUUAUACUGACAGAAAUCUAAUCUCUACCUCAGAUGGAGCUCCCAGGGGAGUGGCGACCACUAUCUCUAUGGUUCGGUUGACAAAGCUGUUCCAGCCUGCUGGCUUUGGAGAGUCUGGGCAAUCUGGGUGAGGAAGGGUCCUUCCCCAGUGCAGCACACCUGCUGUACCAAAAGCAGCCGGACUGCUUCUGUAAGUAGGUCCCUGAUCCUGUUCCUCCUGACUCAGUGAGACCUCCCAACAGGAGUCUCUAGACACCUCCUACAGGAGUCUUCAGGCCAGAAACUGGUCAGUAUCCCCCUGGGACAGAGCUUCCAAAGGAAGGAGAAGGCUGCCAUCUUUGCUGUUUUGCAGCUUUCACUGGUGACACCGCCAGGUACAGGAAAAACGGAGGCAACUAGGGUCUCGAGCAGACCCCAGCAAACUGUGGCAGCCCUACAGUUGCUAACAGUCAGUGGCUUGACUGUUAAAAGAAAAACAGGCAGAAAACAACAAGAACAUCAACAAAAAGACCCCACAAAAACCCCAUUCAAGGGUCAGCAACCUCAAGAUUGAAGGUAGGUAAGCCCACAGAUAUGAUAAAAGUCAACACAAAAAAAUGCUGAAAACUCAAAAAGCCAGAGUGCCUCUUCUCCAAAUGACUACAGCACCUCUCUAGCAAGGGUACAGAACUGGGCUGAGGCUGAGAUGGCUGAAUUGACAGAAGUAGGCCUCAGAAAGUGGGUAAUGAACUUUGCUGAGCUAAAGGAGCAUGGCAUAACCCAAUGCAAAGAAGCUAAGAAUCAUGAUAAAACAAUACAGGAGCUGAUGACUAGAAUAGCCAGUUUAGAGAGGAACAUAACUGACUUGAUGGAGCUGAAAAACACAAGAACUUAAUGCAAUCACAAGUAUCAAUUGUAGAAUAGACCAAGAGGAGGAAAGAGACUCAGAGCUUGAAGACUAUCUUUCUGAAAUAAGACAGGCAGAGAAGAAUAGAGAAAGAAUGAAGAGUAAUGAACAAAACCUCUGAAAAAAAAUAUGGAGUUAUGUAAAAAGACUGAACCUAUGACUGAUUGCAGAACCUGAAACAGAUGGGGAGAAUGGAAACAAGUUGGAAACAUACUUUAGGAUGUUAUCCAGGAGAACUUUCCAAACCUAGCAUGACAGGCUAAUAUUCAAAUUCAGGAAAUGCAGAGAACCCCAGUAAGAUACUCCAUGAGAAGAUCAACCCCAAGACACAUAAUCAUCAGAUUCUCCAAGGUCAAAAUUAAAAAAUAUAAAGGGCAGUCAGAGAGAAUGAAAGGUCAGGUCCCCUACAAAGGGAAGCCCAUCAGACUAAUAGCAGACAUCUCAGUGGAAACCCUACAAGCCAGAAGAUAUUGGGGGUCAAUAUUCAGCAUUCUUAAAGAAUUCUUUGCCAGAAUUUAAUAUCUGGCCAAAGUAAGCUUUAUGUGCAAAGAAAUAAGAUCCUUUUCAGACAAGGAAAUGCUGAGAGAAUUCAUCACCACCAGGCCUUCCUUGCAAGAGUUCCUGAAGGAAGCACUAAAUAUGGAAAGAAAAAAACUAUUACCAGCCACUACAAAAACACACUGAAGUACAUAGACCAAUGACACUAUAAAGCAACCACAUAAACAAGUCUGCAAAAUAACCAGCUAGCAUCAUGAUGGCAGGAUCAAAUUCACACAUAACAAUACUAAUAUCAAAUCUAAAUAGGCUAAAUGCCCCAAUUGAAAGAGAAGUGCAAGCUGGAUAAACAGCCAAGACCGAUUGAUAUGCCAUGUUUAAGAGACCCAUCACACGUGCAAAGACACACAUAGGCUCAAAAUAAAGGGAUGGAGGAAAAUCUACCAAGAAAAUGGAAAUCAGAAAAAAGCAGGAGUCACAAUCCUAGUUUUUGACAAAACAGACUUUAAACCAACAAAGAUAUAAAAAAAAAAAAGACAAAGCAAGGCAUUACAUAACGGCAAAGGGUUCAACAAGAAGAGCUAACUAUUCUAAGCACAUAUACGCACCCAAUAGCAGAGGACCCAGAUUCAUAAAGUAAGUUCUUAGAGACCUACAAAGAGACUUAGACUCCCACACAGUAAUAGUGGGAGACUUUAACACUCCAUUGACAAUAUUAGCUCAUUGAGAUAAAAAAUUAACAAAGAUGUUGAGGACCUUAACUCAGCUCUGGAUUAAGCAGACCUGAUAGAUAUCUGCAGAACUCUCCACUCCAAGACAACAGAAUAUACAUUUUUCUCAUCAUCACAUGGCACUUAAAAAUUGAUCACAUAAUCGGAAGUAAACACUCCUCAGCAAAUGCAAAAUAACUGAAAUCAUAACAGUCUCUCAGACCAUAGCACAAUCAAAUUGAACUCAAGAUUAAGAAAUUCACCCAAAAAAUUAAAAUAAAAAUGAAAUUAACUCAGAACCACACAACUAUGUGGAAAUUGAAUAACCUGCUUGUGAAUGACUCCUGGGUAAAUACUGAAAUUAAGGCAUAAAUCAAGAAAUUAUUUGAAACUAAUAAGAAUAAAGACACAAUGUACCAGAAUCUCUGGGAUGCAGCUAAAGAAGUGUUAAGACAGAAAUUAAUAGCACUAAAUGCCCACAUCAAAAAGCUAGAAAGAUCUCAAGUUAACAACAUCACAACUAAAAUAGAGAACCAAAAACAAACCCCAAAGCUAGCAGAAUACAGGAAAUAAGAUCAGAGCAGAACUCAAGGAGACAGAGACACAAAAAAUCUUUCAAAAAUUAACAAAUCCAGGAGCUGGUUUUUUGAAAAAAAUUAAUAGACUGCUAACUAGACUAAUAAAUAAGAAAAGAGAGAAGAAUCCAACACAAUCAGAAAUGAUAAAGGGGAUGUCACCACUGACCCCACAGAAAUACAAGCAACCAUCAGAGAAUAUUAUAAACACCUCUCUGCACAUAAACUAGAAAAUCUAGAAAAAGAGAAUAAAUUUCUGGAAACAUACACCCUUCUAAGGCUGAACCUGGAAGAAAUUGAAUCCCUGAAUAGACCAAUAACGACUUCUGAAAUUGAGGCAGUAAUAGUCUACCAAAAAAAAAAAAAAAGCCCAGGACCAGACAAAUUUACAGCUGAAUUCUACCAGAGGUACAAAAAAGAGCUGGUACCAUUUCUACUGAAACUAUUCCAAACAAUUGAAAAGAAGGGAUUCCUCCUUAAUUCUUUUUAUGAGGCUAGCAUCAUCCUGAUACCAAAACCUGGCAGAGAUAAAACAAAAAAAGAAAACUUCAGGCCAGUAUCCCUGAUGACUAUCAAUGCAAAAAUCCUCAACAAAAUACUGGUAAACUGAAUCCAGCAGCACAUCAAAAAGCUUAUCCACCACAAUCAAGUUGGCUUCAUCCCCAGGAUGCAAGGUUGGUUCAACAUAUGCAAAUCAAUAAAUGUGAUCACAUAAUGAGAACCAAAGACAAAAAUCACAUGAUUAUCUCAAUAGAUGCAGAAAAGGCCUUUGAUAAAAUUCAACAUCCCUUCAUGCUAAAAGCUGUCUGUAAACUAGGUACUGAAGGAACAUACCUCAAAAUAAUAAGAGCCAUAGAUUACAAACCCACAGCCAAUAUCCUACUGAGUGGGUAAAAGUUGUAAUCAUUCCCCUUGAAAACUGGCACAAGACAAGGACCAGCCCCCGCCCUUUCCCCACUCCUAUUCAACACAGUAUUGGAAGUUCUGGCCAGUCAAGUCAGACAAGUGAAAGAAAUAAAGCAUAUUCAAAUAGAGAGGAAGUCACAGUAUCUUUGUUUGCAGAUGACAUGAUCCUAUAUCUAGAAAACCCCAUCAUCUCAGCCCAAAAGCUUUUUAAGCUGAUAAGCAACUUCAGCAAAGUCUCAGGAUACAAAAUCAAUGUGCAAAAUCGCUAGUAUUCCUAUAAACCAACAACAGGCAAGCAGAGAACCGAAUCAUGAAUGAACUCGCAUUCACAAUUGCUACAAAAAGAAUAAGUUAUCUGGGAAUACAGCUAACAAGGGAAGCGAAGGACCCCUUCAAGGAGAACUACAAAUCACUGCUCAAAGAAAUCAGAGAGGACACAAAUGGAAAAACAUUUCAUGCUCAUGGAUAGGAAGAAUCAAUAUUGUGAAAUGGCCAUACUGCCCGAAGUAAUUUAUAGAUUCAAUGCUAUUCCCAUUAAGCUACCGUUGACAUUCUUCACAGAAUUAGAGAAAAAAAAACCUAUUUUAAAAUUCAUUUGGAACCAAAGAAUAGCCCAAAUAGCCAAGACAAUUCUAAGCAAAAAAGAACAAAGCUGGAGGCAUCAUGCAACCCAACUUCAAACUAUACUCCAAGGCUACAGUAACGAAAACAGCAUAGUACUGGAACAAAAACAGACACAUAGACAAAUGGAACAGAAUAGAGAACUCAGAAAUAAGACCACACACCUACAACCAUCUGAUAUUCAACAAACCUGACAAAAACAAGCAAUGGGGAAAUGAUUCCCUAUAUAAUAAACGGUGCUGGGAGAACUGGCUAGCCAUGCACAGAAAAUUGAAACUGGACCCCUUCCUUCCUUACACAUUAUACAAAAAUUAAGAUGGAUUAAAAACUUAUGAAACCCAAAACUAUAAAAACUCCAGAAGAAAAUCUAGGUGAUACCAUCCAGGACAUAGGGACAGGCAAAGAUUUCACGAUGAAAACACCAAAAGCAAUUGCAACAAAAGCAAAAUUUGACAAAUGGGAUCUAAUUAAACUAAAGAGCUUCUGCACACCAAAAGAAACUAUUAUCAGGGUGAACAGACAACCUACAUAAUGGGAGAAAAUCUUUGCAAUCUGUCCAUCUGACAAAGGUCUAAUAUCCAGAGCCUACAAGGAACUUAAACAAAUUUACGAGAAAAAAAAACAUUAAAAAGUGGGCAAAAGACAUCAACAAGCAUUUCUCAAAAGAAGACGUACAUGCAGCUGACAAACAUGAAAAAAAGCUCAACAUCACUAUCAUUAGAUAAAUGCAAAUCAAAACCACAAUGAGAUACUGUCUCACAUCAGUCACAAUGGCAAUUAUAAAAAAGUAAAAAAGAAGCCAUUUGCAGCAGCUCAAAGUGCUGUAAUCCCAAACCUUUGGGAGGCUGAGGUGGGUGGAUCACUUGAGGUCAGAAGUUGGAGACCAGCCUGGCCAACAUGGCGAAACGAACCCCUGUCUCUACUAAAAAUACAAAAAAUUAGCUGGAUGUGGUGGUGCAUGCCUAUAAUCCCAGCUACCUGGGAGGCUGAGGCAUGAGAAUUGGUUGAACCCAGGAGGCAGAGGUUGCAGUGAGUCAAGGUCAUGCCACUGCACUUCAGCCUGGGCAACAGUGAAACUGUGUCUCAAAAAAAAAAAAAAAGUCAAAAAGCAACAGUUGUUGGUGAAGUUGGGGAGAAAAAGGAAUGCUUUUACAUUGUUAGUGGGAGUAUAAAUUAGUUGAAUCAUUGUGGAAGACAGUGUGGCAAUUCCUCAAAGAUUUAGAGGCAGAAAUACCAUUUCACCUAGCAAUCCCAUUACUGUAAUAUAUACCUCCAAAUUAUAAAUCAUUCUAUUAGAAAGAUACAUGCAGUUGUAUGUUCACUGCAGCACUAUUCAAAAUAACAAAGACAUGGACUCAACCCAAAUGCCCAUCAAUGAUAGACUGGAUAAAGAAAAUGUCAUACAUAUAGACCAUGGAAUACUAUGCAAACAUAAAAAGAAAUUAGAUCAUCCAGGACAUGGAUGGAGCUAGAAGCCGUUAUCCUCAGCAAACUAACACAGGAACAGAAAACCAAACACUGCAUGUUCUCACUUAUAAGUGGGAGCUGAAUGAUGAGAACAUAUGGACACAUGGUGGGAAACAACACACACUGGGGCCUCUUGGAGGGGUGGAGGGAGGGAGAGCAUCAGGCAGAAUAGCUAAUGGAUGCUGUGCUUAAUACCUAGGUGAUAGAUUGAUCUGUGCAGCAAACCACCAUGGCUCACAUUUACCUAUGUAACAAACCUACACAUCCUGCCCAUGUACCCCUGAACUUAAAAGUUGAAGAAAAAAAUAAAUCAUAGUAUUAAAAAGGAGAAAUCUUGCAAGAAAUAAUUUAUGGAAACAUGAGUUGAAAUGCAGGGUACACUCAGCACUGCAAUGUAGACCUUUAUUUUGAUUAUUAUCUUAUCCACUUGGCUCCUGGCUUCUCCUCAUCCUCUGUUCUCAAGUCGGAUUCUUAUUAUUUGGGACUCUGUCUAGUGUUCCCUUGAUUGUAUACAGCAUAAAUUUAACAAUAAUUUGUCAUUUUUCUCACAAUAUGAGGUGAAAAGAUUUUGUAAUAACAGACCACUGCAUAUUGUACAAGUUUUUUCAACAGUUUUAAGGCAGGAUUCACAGUAAACACUUUUUUCUUUUAAAAAAUUAUUUUUAAGGAAUAGAGACAGUCUCACCAUGUUGCUUGGCUGGUCUUGAACUUCUAGGCUCAGGCAAUCCUCCUACCUCAGCCUCCCAAAAUGCUGGAAUUAUAGGCAUGAGCCACCACACCCAGCCCACAGUAACAUUUCUAACGUGGCAGAUGUAGUUACAUUGACAAAAAUUUUUCUAGUAAAGGCCAGGUGUGGUGGCUCACUCCUGUAAUCCCAGCACUUUGGGAGGCUGAGGCAGGUGGAUCACUUGAGGCCAUGGGUUCGAGAUCAGCCUGGUCAACAUGGCGAAACCCCGUCUCUACUAAAAAUACAAAAAUUAGCUGGUGUGGUGGUGUGUGCCUGUAAUCCCAGCUACCUGAGAGGCUGAGGCAUGAGAAUCGCUUGAGCCUGGGAGGCGGAGGUUGCAGUGAGCUGAGAUUGUGCCACUGUACUCCAGCCUGGGCAACAGAGCGAGACUUCAUCUAAAAAAAAAAAUUCCUAAUAAGUUUUGAAUUGAUCAUGAUUUGUGAUUCUGCAUUUCUGUGCAGGCUUUAAUAUGAUUGCCUUCUAAUUGCUGUAGUUAUUUCUUUUAUCAGACUUCUCAGGUAGAAGCUUUGCCAAAUUUGAAGGAAAAUGUUUGGCAACCUCAGUAUUUCUUCCCAUCUCCAUGAACUACCAAGAAAAUGUGUUGGAGUUUGGUGAUUUCAUCAUACAUAUUCAUUAUUGGAGCAAGAGUAACCUUUACAUACUCUUCUUUAUUGUUGGCCAUAAGAAUAUGUUUUUUGGAAAGUGGUAUAUGGCAGUAUGUAUAAGGUACAACUGUUCAACCUGGAAAUCAUAGGAUAGAAAAUUACAACAUUAAAACUCUGAAAAUUAGUAGAUUACAUGGAUGAUGUCACUUCAUUUUAAAAUGGAAAGAACAAGUGUUCAACCACAGGAAUUUGUAUGAAGUGCAUUUAUUCAUAUAAAAACACAAAGCCAGUAAAAUGAUGACAUAGAUGUACAAUAAAAAGAGAAGAGCAUGAUGUAUGCCUUAGGGAAAUCCUAUUGUAGCCUUCAUAACAAACUAAGUGUCUUUGUGUUUCUGGGUUUGUUUAUUUGGUUAUUUUUAGUGUGUACAUACAUCAUUUGUGAAUGAAUAUUCUGACAUUUUCCCUGGCAAUGAGUAUUUGCUGGAAUUUUUCAUUUUAUAAUUUUAUGCAUUUUAAAUUUCUCAUUGAACACCAACUUUACCAAAGCAGUUAUGUGAUGAAAAAUUUGAAAAAUUAUUAAUAUUAAUCACUUACCUAUAAGGACUCUGAAUAAGAUUGCUCUACAUUGUCAUAUGACAGUUCAAAAUUAAGGAAUAGGGAUAUGGAAGUCAUAUUUCAAAAUAAAAAAAUGUAUCUGGUCACCUGGAUAUACAGAUUGAUGAGUGUGGUCAACUGCCUUCAUAACUAAUGUGUGUGAUUCUGCUUUAGGCAUAAGUCAGGAAGCAAGCAAAUCCUAGUGACAGAAAUAAUGUGGGUAUAUAUAGUUGUGGAGGUUAAAAAAACAGAUUCUUUGAAGAACAAAUGCGCAUGAUCAGGGAACUUAACAUGACAGCAGCAGUCUCUUAGUGUGUGGAACCAGCUUGGACAAAGAGCUGAUUUGGGUGCUAAUUCAUAGUUAUACACCAUGGUGUAACUUAACUGUAUUAGGUUAAAAGGCAUUCUUCAAAGUGUCUAGUUGAGAUACGUAAGCUUUUCAUAAUUAAUUUUCUAAAUAAUAUAUUUUCAUGAUGCUAUAUUCAUGCUGUGCCAGUUUGGAUAGUAGAUUGGAGGUCCCUAAGACCACCUCUGGGUUCUGUGAUUUACUAAAAUAACUGAGAGUAUAGUUGUACUUAUAACAAUAUUACAGUGACAAGAUACAAAACAGAAUCUGUAAAGGGAAAUGGCUCAUGGGCAGUUGUCUAGAGGAAACCAGAAGCAAGCUUACCAGAGUCCUCUCUGCAUGGUGUUACAUAAGACUCAACUCCUCUAGCAUUGAAUUGUGAUACUACUUGUGAAAUGUCUACAAUGGAAGCUCAUUAGCAACCAGCAGCACAGGUUCUUAUUGAGAUUGAUUAUGUAGGUAUGUGUCUAGUACAUAUCAAGAUUCCCAACUCUAAGAAGAAGAGCAAGUGUUCCAAAUAAGCUGCAUUGUAGAGUUUAGGUGCAGUGACCACUCCUACCCAUUAUGGAAAGGUGGUAACUCUCUCAAACCCCAUGUUCCUUGACUCCAGCCAAAGGCCAGCGUUGCAAACAGCUCUUUUUAAAGUUAGCAGUCUGACUUAUGCCUGCUAUGUUAACUUUUUGUGCAUGUGGUAUCAGAAAAGUAGGGCCUGCAGUCUUGUGGGGUUUUCUUAAACUAUCACCAGAUAAUAGUUCAUCUCUAAGAUAAUUAUUUGUAAAAGAAAAUUCAUCAGAUUACAUUUUAAAAUAUUUUUAUAAUAAAAAAUACCAUAGGUAGGCCUUCCAUCUACCCUCGUGUGCCUGGGUCCUCAAAUUGGUCACAGGAUGAUAUUAACAGCUGAUUUGUUUUUAUUGUUCAUAUUUAUGUCUCACAGACUGCAUGAGUAUUUGACUCCCAAUAAAACUGAAUAUUGAAUACCUAACUUCA